rnacentral:misc_RNA from 1 species
ACUAAUUAACCUUUAUUUAUAUGUGUUAAUUGUAAAACAUAACUCUUAAAACAAAGUUUUUAAGUUUAUAACAAUUGUUUUAAUUAAUGUGAUAGAAUGUAAUAAGUAUUGCAUGCAAUCAGGGGUAACAUUUGUUUUUUUUUGAGAUGACAAUUUUUAUUGUUACCAAUGAUUGCAGGCAUAUUUUUUAUGAUGUACCACCAGGUUUCAAUGAUAUUUCAUUUUUGAUUUUUUUAAUCUCAGAUUAUUCUUGUUCACUAUUUUGUCUGUAAAUAUUGAAGUACUCUUUGUUAGUAUAUUUUACAUGUAACUUGAUUGCAUAGAUGACUGAAUGAAAAAAAUACCCAAACUUAUUAGAUUAUAACAAUUUUGAUUUUUAAUUUUUUUGUAAACUAACUUGUAUGGUAAAUGUACUCUCUUCUAAUCUCAGCUGUCCUUCUUUUUGUUUUGUUAAGAGCACUUAAACUAUUCCACUUUU